CCCUUAGAUGUCCUGGGCCGCACGCGCGUUACACUGAUGCAUUCAACGAGCUUAUAACCUUGGCCGAGAGGCCUGGGCAAUCUUGUUAACGUGCAUCGUGAUAGGGAUAGAUUAUUGAAAUUAUUAAUCUUGAACGAGGAAUUCCUAGUAAACGCAGAUCAUCAAUCUGCAUUGAUUACGUCCCUGCCCUUUGUACACACCGCCCGUCGCACCUACCGAUUGAGCGAUCCGGUAAAUGUUUUGGAUUGGUGCCGGGGCGGCUAGCUGCCGGUCGCUACGAAAUUUUGUGAACCUUAUCGCUUAGAGGAAGGAAAAGUCGUAACA
rnacentral:rRNA from 1 species